AGGUUGACCUCGGAUCAGGUAGGGAUACCCGCUGAACUUAAGCAUAUCAAUAAGCGGAGAAAAGAAACCAACAGGGAUUGCCCUAGUAACGGCGAGUGAAGCGGCAACAGCUCAAAUUUGAAAUCUGGCGCAAGCCCGAGUUGUAAUUUGUAGAGGAUGCUUCUGGGCAGCGGCCGGUCUAAGUUCCUUGGAACAGGACGUCAUAGAGGGUGAGAAUCCCGUAUGCGACCGGUUGGCACCCGUCACGUAGCUCCUUCGACGAGUCGAGUUGUUUGGGAAUGCAGCUCUAAAUGGGAGGUAAAUGCCUUCUAAAGCUAAAUACCGGCCAGAGACCGAUAGCGCACAAGUAGAGUGAUCGAAAGAUGAAAAGCACUUUGGAAAGAGAGUUAAACAGCACGUGAAAUUGUUGAAAGGGAAGCGCAUGCAACCAGACUUGUCGGCGGUGUUCCGCCGGUCUUCUGACCGGUUCACUCGCCGUCGGCAGGCCAGCAUCAUCUGGGAGCGCCGGAUAAAGGCGCGGGGAAUGUGGCUCCUCGGAGUGUUAUAGCCCCGCGUGCAAUACGGCGCCUCCCGGGUGAGGUCCGCGCUUCGGCUAGGAUGCUGGCGUAAUGGUUGUCUGCGGCCCGUCUUGAAACACGGACCAAGGAGUCUAACAUCUGUGCGAGUGUUCGGGUGUCAAACCCCUACGCGUAAUGAAAGUGAACGGAGGUGGGAACCGCAAGGUGCACCAUCGACCGAUCCUGAUGUCCUCGGAUGGAUUUGAGUAAGAGCAUAGCUGUUGGGACCCGAAAGAUGGUGAACUAUGCCUGAAUAGGGUGAAGCCAGAGGAAACUCUGGUGGAGGCUCGCAGCGGUUCCGACGUGCAAAUCGAUCGUCAAAUUUGGGUAUAGGGGCGAAAGACUAAUCGAACCAUCUAGUAGCUGGUUCCUGCCGAAGUUUUCCCUCAGGAUAGCAGUAGCGU
rnacentral:rRNA from 1 species